rnacentral:rRNA from 1 species
UACAGAGGGUGCGAGCGUUAAUCGGAAUUACUGGGCGUAAAGCGUGCGCAGGCGGCUUUGCAAGACAGAUGUGAAAUCCCCGGGCUUAACCUGGGAACUGCAUUUGUGACUGCAAGGCUAGAGUACGGUAGAGGGGGAUGGAAUUCCGCGUGUAGCAGUGAAAUGCGUAGAUAUGCGGAGGAACACCGAUGGCGAAGGCAGUCCCCUGGGCCUGUACUGACGCUCAUGCACGAAAGCGUGGGGAGCAAACAGG